UUCAUAUUAAAUGCAGAAGAAAUGUAAAAAUUACAAACCCAUUGCUUAAGUUUUUAGCCCAACCCAUAGUUAUGCUAAAGAAACUCAUAUCAAGACCCAAAGUAUGAACCUCCUAAUAACACUUAGGCCCAGUUAGAAAAAACAGAAGAGUUGUCUAGGAAACAUCGAUGGUUUUGGAGGCAGAGUAAAGCGAUGGAUUGAGGAAGAUGGAGAGAGGAGAGGAAGAGGCAGAGUAUGGCGAUGGCAGGGGAUGUUGAUCUAGAGCGAUUAUGACAUCCACUGCUGCAUCAUGGCGGAGGAGGAAAUAGGGUUUCUGCCUCUGAAAGAGAGAAUCCGAUCCCUUACCUGUCUAUCAAGCAAGCGGCAGAUGACAGGAGGUGAUCGAUAAGUACUUCUGUGGAGCCUAGCAUUCCUUUCCGUCCAAAUCCAAUAAAUACAGCCUUGCCAACAUAGAAGCGAUUCAAUCCACAUCUUGGCGCAAGAGUACUCCAAAUUUCCCAGGCAAAAGGGCAAUCAAAGUAGAGAUGAUCACGGCUUUCAGAAGCUGCGUUGCAGAGCAAGCAAAGUGGAGAUGUUUGUAGCCCCCAACCGAUGAUUCUAUCUCUCGUCGGACACCGAUUGAGCACAAACAACCAAGCCAAGAAACUUUGUCGUGGAAUGCCUCCUUUGCUCCAUACAGUUUUAAACCAAGAGCGGGCAGGAGGGAGCUGCCAUGAGUUAUGAGCUGACAGGGAAGCGAGAGUAGCUGACUGAGGUAUCCCCAACGAUGAGGAAGAGCCAAGUUGGAGGUAUGAUCUUACACACCCGAAAGGGGACCAGUUAUCAGUCCAGAAUCGGCAGGAUAGACCAUUAGAAACCCAGGGGGACUCCAAGAUAGCGCACAGGGAGAGAGCCAAGAGGCAUACCCGUUGAUACUUGGAUGGUGUCAGUUUCUGCUUGUGAUAGUCCCGAAGCAAAGAAAGAAGUUUUGUGGACGCUUACUGCCAAACCCGAUCUCAACUCAAACUCCCGUAGCACUUGAAGUACUGCCUGAACAGAGUCCAAGGAUCCGUCUAUGAAUAUCAAGAGGUCAUCAGCGAAGCAGAGAUGAGUAAGCCUCGAAGAGGAGCAGCUGUAGUGGUAGUUGAAGCGCAUCUCCCGGGCCGCUUUGUUCAGCAUGAGAGAGAGGUUGUUGAGAGCAAUAACAAAGAGAUAUGGAGACAACGGGUCUCCCUGACGCAGACCUCGAGUUCCCUUGAAGAAGCCGUUCACCAAACCAUUGUAUCCCACAGUGAAGCUGGUGGUGCAUACACAAGCUCUGAUCCAGGCGAUAAACUCCCUUGGCAAGUUAAAACCUUCCAAGCAGGAGAAGAGGAAAUCCCAAGAUAAGGCACUAUAAGCGGCGUCAAGAUGGGCUUCAGACGCUUGACGAGGAGGCGAGAGACCACCUUGUACAGAGUAUUCAAGCAAGAAAUGGGCCUAAAGUCUGUUAUCAGUGAAGCUCCAGUGUGCUUAGGAACCAACGUGAGGAUGGUGCUAUUAGUUGCCGCAGGCAUGAAUGAAGAGAAGAAGAAGUGUUGAAUUGAGUUCACCACCUCCUCUCCAACUAUAGACCAAGCUGCCUUGUAAAACCCCGAGCGGAAGGGAGAUAGAGAUUGGAACCACUCAACUGGAGAUGCUAUCGUUACCCGAGGAGGAGGCAUUGGCCCCAGUAUGCUUGUGAAGUGGGCAACAGCGUGACAGCUCAUGGCCAAAGGGUCAGUUAGUACUACGCCUGAGGAGAGGAUAAAGCAACAGAUGGUGUUGUAGCUAAGGUGGAUCUGCACAAUACGAAAGAAGAAGGAACAGCCAGCGCUCAUUAGCCUGUUUCUCUUGCUCAAACAGUUGUGGAGUUGGAUUCUGCAUUACCUGUACCUGCACAUCUUGAAGAACACGGAAAGAGCAGUGAGGUUCCAGGCAGCGCCACCGGCUUGUGUCCAUGCGUCAAGUACCAACUGGUGAAACCACGGGUGAUGGGAGAGGUAGUUAAAAAAUUUAAAGGGGCGGGUUCCGGAGGUGGGCAUUUUGUAGGCAAGGUUUAGGAUGCAAGGGGUAUGGUCAGAGGUGAGUGAUGGGAGGAAUAUAGCAGAACAGUCAGGGAAAAGGGCAAGGACAUGGUUAUUUAUAAGCAGCCGAUCUAGCUUUUUUGCAAUUGGUUCUUCAGGUCUCCGGUUAGUCCAGGAGAAAAAGGAGCCUUGGAACCGCAAGUCAAAGAGACCCAUUUGAGAUAGGCAAUCCCCAAACUCGAUCAUAGGAGGAGUUAGAGAGUUUACGUUCAAGAGAGAGUGCUCAGCAGGGUGUAGGAUCUGAUUAAAAUCUCCUCCUAACAUCCAAGGGGUAGUGGCAAGAGAGAAAUCUUGAUGCACGUGUAGCAAUUCCACCCAAAGGUGAGUGCUUGACGAGAUUGCUGAAGAACUCGCACAGAUAUGUUGUCUUUCCAAAUGACUAUGAUCCUGCCAUCAUCAUCUGAUAAGUGAUUUGAGGAGGAGCUGGGGGAAGGUUUUGGGCUUGAACAGGUUUCAAAGGCAAGGAAGAGGGGGCAAGUGCAAAGGUACCAGUAGCAACGAUAGCAGUGCCAGUGGUAGGAGUGAUCGACUUGUCGGGUACUUUAUGCACAUCAGAUCGGUUGGUCACAUCCUCUUCUGCUACAUUUUUCUGUGAAUUUUGCUUUUCCUUUGCAUUUGAAGACUCAGGAGCAUCCUUGCGCAUAGGAGCAGCUUUUUUUCCUUUUGAUUUAGCAGAAGAAGCACCCGCCUUUUCAGGUUGGUGGUAUCCAAGGGUAAGCCACCGAGACUUCCACCACUUCACCAGAUUCACGAGUAAACUCGACAAUGCUUGGAAGCGGUUUCGUCAAAUCAACAGCGACUUUGACAUGAGAUAGUGUCAAACUCACAAGAUUUAGUGUGAAGUCAUCUGUCUCCUUUGGUUCUCCUACCAAUCCAGCAACAAGACUCAGGCCUUGCUGGUGUCGCAAGUCCAACGGGAUGCCUGUUAGGUGCGCCCAAAUCUGUAUGGAUUCCAGUGGAGGGGAAGAGAGAGAUGCUGAGGAAGUCCAUUGCACUGCCUGGAACAUAGAGUCACCGACAUACCACACUCUUUUCUCCAGUAUUUUUUGUCGAAGAUAAUCUGAGGGGAUCCUAACCAGCAUAGAGCGCGAGAGGGGGUUCGUAUGUAUCUCUACACGGUUCCCUUUACCCCAUAGACUAUUCAACACACUCUGUAUGUGGUUAAAUGGCGGAGGCCGUCCAUUGAAAAAACAGAUUAUGAAAUCUCUAUGCAACUCAGCACCUUUUUGAAACACACUGUCAGGAAUGAGCACACGAGGCUUGCCAGAAUCACAUAAUCGAAUCUUAAUAGUCAUGUUUCAGUUAUAAUUUGAAAGCACUAUCAAAGUAUUUGUGUCAAAAAUUAAAGACAACUAUUACAGCCAAUCACACCUUAUAUAUUGGUUAUGAUUCUUCGAUUUAUUA